rfam:Chelonia mydas contig246667, whole genome shotgun sequence.
GGAAGGAUGGUCCUGUAGUCAAGGCACUGGUCUGGGACCCAGGAGACCUGGGUUCAAUUCCCUGCUUUUCCA